rnacentral:rRNA from 1 species
AUUGAACGCUGGCGGCAGGCUUAACACAUGCAAGUCGAACGAGUGGCGGACGGGUGAGUUAUGCUUGGGAAUCUAGCUUAUGGAGGGGGAUAACUACGGGAAACUGUAGCUAAUACCGCGUACCGUAGGAUGAGCCCAAGGGGGCUUGGGUAGUUGGUGAGGUAAAGGCUCACCAGGCCGACGAUCUCUUGCUGGUCUGAGAGGAUGAUCAGCCACACUGGGACUGUGACACGGCCCAGACUCCUACGGUAGGCAGCAGGGGGGAAUAUUGCGCAAUGGGGGAAACCUGACGCAGCCAUGCCGCGUGAAUGAAGAAGGCCUUCGGGUUGUAAAGUUCUUUCGGUAGCUAGGCGUUAACUACAGAAGAAGCACCGGCUAACUACGUGCCAGCAGCCGCGGUAAUUC